rnacentral:rRNA from 1 species
GGUUGCGAUCAUACCAGCACUAAUGCACCGGAUCCCAUCAGAACUCCGCAGUUAAGCGUGCUUGGGCGAGAGUAGUACUAGGAUGGGUGACCCCCCUGGGAAGUCCUCGUGUUGCAACCCC